rnacentral:tRNA from 5 species
GGGCGGGUGGCGAAACUGGUAGACGCACUUGACUCAAAAUCAAGCGGGCUUAAACCCAUAGGAGUUCGAUUCUCCUCCUGCCCAUCA